GAUGAAGAACGUAGCGAAAUGCGAUAACUAAUGUGAAUUGCAGAAUUCAGUGAAUCAUCGAGUCUUUGAACGCACAUUGCGCCCCCUGGUAUUCCGGGGGGCAUGCUUGUCCGAGCGUCAUUGCUGCCCUCAAGCACGGCUUGUGUGUUGGGCUCCGUCCCCCCGGGGACGGGUCCGAAAGGCAGCGGCGGCACCGAGUCCGGUCCUCGAGCGUAUGGGGCUUUGUCACCCGCUCUGUAGGCCCGGCCGGCGCCAGCCGACAACCAAUCAUCCUUUUUUCAGGUUGACCUCGGAUCAGGUAGGGAUACCCGCUGAACUUAAGCAUAUCAAUAAGCGGAGGA
rnacentral:misc_RNA from 1 species